rnacentral:rRNA from 1 species
UAUCUCUGUAGAGUCUGCAUAUCAAUAAGCGGAGGAAAAGAAACUAACUAGGAUUCCCUUAGUAACGGCGAGUGAAGCGGGAAGAGCUCAAAUUUGAAAUCUUCAAGGUUCUACCUUGACGAAUUGUAGUUUAAAGAAGUGUUUUCUGUUGGAUGUUUUGGUAAAAGUUCUUUGGAAUAGGACAUCAUAGAGGGUGAGAAUCCCGUAUUUGACCAUUACUUCCAGCGUUGUGAUACACUUUCAAAGAGUCGGAUUGUUUGGGAAUGCAGUCCAAAAUGGGUGGUAAAUUUCAUCUAAAGCUAAAUAUUGGCGAGAGACCGAUAGCGAACAAGUACCGUGAGGGAAAGAUGAAAAGAACUUUGAAAAGGAGAGUUAAACAGUACGUGAAAUUGUCAAAAGGGAAGCGUUUGACACCAGUGUUGUUUUCUCGAAGAUCAAUUAAAAAAAGGUUAGGAUUUUGUAGUUGUUAUGACCCUAUCAGCUUACUGCACUCUUUUCUUGUCUUUUUUAAUGCACUUUUCGUUUAACAAGUCAACAUCAAUUUCUUUUGUUGUAAAAGAGUCAUUGGAAGGUGGCUUUCCUUUCGGAUGAAAGUGUUUAUAGCCUUUGGCCUUCUGCAAUCGGAGAGAUUGAGGUCUGCAGCGUAGAUCCUUCGGGGCUAGAUACAUUAGAUGCUAAGUUAUAGCUUUUUAUAGACAACUUGUUGACUAUGAUUAAGUCAUGUAGCUUACUCGCUUAUGCCUAUUUUACCUACGCUUAGGAUGUUGACGAUCAGCUGAGCGCG